rnacentral:rRNA from 1 species
UACAGGGGGUGCAAACGUUGCUCGGGAUCAUUGGGCGUAAAGCGCACGUAGGCGGUUCGUUAUGUCGGAUGUGAAAGCCCUUGGCUUAACCGAGGAAGUGCAUCCGAAACUGGCGAGCUAGAGUACGAAAGAGGAUCGCGGAAUUCCCGGUGUAGAGGUGAAAUUCGUAGAUAUCGGUAGGAACACCGGUGGCGAAGGCGGCGAUCUGGGUCGAUACUGACGCUGAGGUGCGAAAGCGUGGGGAGCAAACAGG